CGAUGAUACGCGAGAAACCUUACCAGGGCUUGACAUAUACAGGAAUGUUGUAGAGAUACAGCAGCCGCUUGCGGUCUGUAUACAGGUGCUGCAUGGCUGUCGUCAGCUCGUGCUGUGAAGUGUUGGGUUAAGUCCCGCAACGAGCGCAACCCUAUCAUCUGUUGCCAGCAUUUAAGGUGGGGACUCAGAUGAGACUGCCGGUGACAAACCGGAGGAAGGUGGGGACGACGUCAAGUCAUCAUGGCCCUUAUGUCCUGGGCUACACACGUGCUACAAUGGCCGGUACAGAGUGAAGCGAAACCGCGAGGUGAAGCAAAACGCAGAAAGCCGGUCUCAGUACGGAUUGGAGUCUGAAACUCGACUUCAUGAAGUUGGAAUCGCUAGUAAUCGCGCAUCAGCAUGGCGCGGUGAAUACGUUCCCGGGCCUU
rnacentral:rRNA from 1 species